GCUGAGACUGACCUUGAACUUGUGAUUAUCCUAUCUCAGACUUUCAACCUUCUGGGAUUAUAGGGUUCAUGAUGAAUACUUCAGGUAUCCAGGCAGCUUCAUUCCAAUGUUCUUUACUGUAAUAGACACCAUUGCUGGAUAAUUUCAUAUUCUCUACCUACAGAAAAAGGGCUCUGUACACCAUACUGAGAAAGCACUUUUGCUCUGCCCACAACCAGCUACAGAAAGAGGGACUCAGAAAAUUUGGAGGUAGGCAUCAGCGUCCUUUGGUGGGAGAGAGAUGAUUUCUGGCCAGCUUUUCAGGCAAGUCUUGUACUAACUAAACUCAGUUGUUAGAAUCGUGAAGACGAGAAUGCAGAGAAAAUAAAGAAAUGUUCGUCUUGAUGUUUAAGGACUAUUUGGAAGAUAAGGGGAAACCCACAUCCUAAUUUUAAGUUCAUAUUACAUAAUGGGAUAUCCUGUGUAAGAAUUAAGUUUGGGUGAGACUAUCAGGAGUAUUACAUUUCCAACACCAAGGAAAACAGGAUGAUUGAUACAUGCAACCUGUCCUUAUGAGGAUGAUAAAAAUACAUAGUAGGUUAACAAGCGAAUUGUUCACCAAAUUGUGAGCUUUAAAAAUUUAGUAUCACAAAUACAGGAAUAAUUCCCCGGAGGAUCAGAGAAUACACUUUUUAUUUUAUUCAGCAAUAUGUUGGAUAAAAUAAACAUAUGUAGAUGCUGAAAGGUUGCUCACAAAUAGGUCAGCUUGUGGCGGAAGUCUUUCAUAAUUCAAGAUACAUCAGCCUUGGCAGUAGCUGGGAAUAAGAGCAAGUAAUCAAAAGUGACCUAAACCAUGACACUAGAGUUUCCAGAUGGUAUAGAAAGGAGUCCAUAAUUUAUGAUUGCCGGUGCAGUAAAUAAAUCUAAAACAAUAGGCGUGGAUAGGGAAGCAGUCACAGCUGACCAAAAGAGCAGUUGUAAUGCAACCCACAGAAAGCUUGGUGCCAGAAGUAAUUGACAUAGUCGUCAAAUCAAUUUCCUAGGGUGCAGACACUCGAGCACUCAAUCUGAUUCUGUAUGCUGCACAACGUUUGGAUUAUACAGCUGCCUCUAAUUCAGAUAGCCUUAGCUCAAUUCAAGGAACUGUCUGGAAGUGAACAGUAAUUAUUGGGCUUCCUUUCUGCAGGUUUACUGUUUUGUGGUCAAAUUCCUUUCUUUUGGAAUUGCACACAUUUCACAUUAAUUAUUUUAUAUUUAACUGCUAUUUUUUUCUCUUUGAUAUCACCUUACUUAAUGGCAUCCAUGAAAUCCAAUAUCUAAGCACCAAUGGGGUACUGUUUCAGGAUAAGAAAACAUCAUGCAUAGUAGGAUAUUUUCUUUAAUAUUUAUUUUUUUUAGUUACAGGUGAACACAAUAUCUUUAUUUUAUUUUUAUGUGGUGCUAAGGAUUGAACCCAGUGCCUCAUGCAUGACAGGCGAGAGCUCUACCUCUGAGCCACAACCCCAGUCCCAGGAUAUUCUUUAUAUUGAUUCUGGAAUUGGUCAGUUAAUUACAAUACAUCAUACCCAUGUGAAGAAAGGGUUAAUCAAUUAUUUUUUUCUGUAUUUCAAUUAAUGCAUUUUUAAAAAGCUUAGAUAAUCUUUUGCUGAAAAUAGUUUCAUUGGAAUUCAUUCAUUCAUUCAUCCAAUGUUAGCAGACUGUGUGCAACACAACAGAGUCUUGAUGAGACAUCAGGGUAUGGAGAGAAGGCACAAAAGUUCUGCCUUUGAAGGAUCACAGUUUAGUGAAUUGAUGAAGCAGGUAAAGAAUCACAUGAGAAGAGUUACAGAAAAAAGUACAAAGGUUAGGAGCCACACAGAAGAAGCCCCUAACCCAGCUGUGGGAGGGCUGGGUUUGGAAAGCAGUGGGCAAAGGCUUUUAAAGAUGUCUCUCAUUGUCAUUGAGAGUUGAAGCAUAAGGAAAACUUUGCCAGAUUGAAAAUAGUCCUGGAAGACCCAACAUCAGAAAGACAAUAGCAUUUUUAGGUAAUCACAUACUCAUUAUUGCAUUUGCAACACAAGGUUUGUUAGGAAAAUGAAUAGCAAGUGUGGAAAGAAAAAGGGACAGGUGUGGAUCAGAUGGAAAAGGGGAAGAGGUGGGAAGCACCUUACAAAACACUUUCACUCACUGUCUUUGGCUUUAUUAAGCAGCCUUUGAGACCAUGAUUGCCCCAUUUGAAUAUGAGCCAGGAACAAAAGUGAGAGAGGUUUGGCCAUUUACUCAAAGUCACAAAACUAGGAGUAAGUCCAGGUCUAUCACUUUAAAGAUCACAAUCUGAAGAGAUCAUUACAUGACUUCUGUCAAGGAAUUCCCAUGGUUCUGGGUUCAGCCAUACAUGAAACUUUUCAAACUUUUGGAAAACAGAAAGGAGAAAUGAUGAGUUUAACAACAGCAUGUGGGGGAAGGGAGAAGAACAGAAAGAUAGAAAGGAAAGAGGAAGACAAAAAGAAUGUACACUAAUUUAAAAUACCAUAAAGAUUUAAAAAAAAAAAAAAGAGGCCAUUACCCUCUUGGGUAUAUGGAAAGAAA